GCUUUACACCACCAAAAAUACACCCCCCACUGUGGAUGCUCUAAUGCUGCUAGAAUAUAUUAUCUGUUCAAACUCCUGAUGCAAAAUUUACCUACCUAUAGGUCCACUUGUUAAAUUCUUGGCCUUGAAUCAGUAGCGUGAUAUGAAAAAAUUAUAUGCUUACCAUUAUGAAUUUCUUUUAGACACAAUUUUUUAUAUGAGUUUGCUUCUUACACAGAUUUAAAGGGCGUGGACCUGCAAACUGGUAAAUUUACCUUCAGGCAACUUAAAGAUGCCACAAACAACUUUGACAAAGCCAAUAAGAUUGGAGAAGGUGGUUUUGGUUCUGUUUACAAGGGCCUUCUAUCAGAUGGCACCGUAAUUGCUGUCAAGCA